GCUUGUCUCAAAGAUUAAGCCAUGCAUGUCUUAGUGUAAAUAACUCUUAUGAAACUGCGAAUGGCUCAUUAAAUCAGUUAUCAAAUACGUGAUGGUCGCCUACUACAUGGAUAACCGUGGUAAUUCUAGAGCUAAUACAUGCGAUAAAACCUGACUUUUUGGAAAGGUUGUAUUUAUUAGAUACCAAACCAAUAUUCAUUCGUGUCUAUUGUGAUGAUUCAUAAUAACUGAUCGAAGCUGGGCGUGCUCAGCUAAAUCAUUCAAGUUUCUGCCCUAUCAGCUUUCGAUGGUAGUGUAUUGGACUACCAUGGCAGUCACGGGUAACGGGGAAUUAGGGUUCGAUUCCGGAGAGGGAGCCUGAGAAACGGCUACCACUUCUAAGGAAGGCAGCAGG
rnacentral:rRNA from 1 species